UUCGGGUGGCUGGCGAGUGGCGAACGGGUGAGUAACACGUGGAAACCUGCCCUGGGGUACGGGACAACAGUUAGAAAUGACUGCUAAUACCGUAUACGUCCUACGGGAGAAAGAUUUAUUGCCCUUGGAGGGGUCCGCGUUGGAUUAGCUAGUUGGUGAGGUAACUGCUCACCAAGGCUACGAUCCAUAGCUGGCCUUAGAGGACGAUCAGCCACACUGGGACUGAGACACGGCCCAGACUCCUACGGGAGGCAGCAGUGGGGAAUAUUGCGCAAUGGGGGCAACCCUGACGCAGCGAUGCCGCGUGAGUGAAGAAGGCCUUCGGGUUGUAAAGCUCUUUCAGUGGGGAAGAUAGUGACGGUACCCACAGAAGAAGCUCCGGCUAACUCCGUGCCAGCAGCCGCGGUAAUACGGAGGGGGCGAGCGUUGUUCGGAAUUAUUGGGCGUAAAGAGCACGUAGGCGGUUUGGCAAG
rnacentral:rRNA from 1 species